rnacentral:lncRNA from 1 species
UCACUGCUGCUCUCCACAUUAUAUUGUCCCUCACUCUUCUUGUAGUUGCCAACAUUGUCAACUUGGGAACUGUUCUGAAUGCAACAAUCUCCACCGCCGUGCCUGCUGCUUCGUCAUGGCAUUUGGAGUAACCCCGAACAUUCUCUGCUCAGAGAUCAUGCCUACGAGCAUCCACGGCCUCUGCAUUGCCAUCUGUGCCCUCACAUUCUGGAUUGGAGACAUCAUCAUCACUUACGCAUUUCCUGUCAUGCUCUCCUCCGUUGGAUUUGCUGGCAUCUUCGGAAUCUAUGUUGUCGGGUGCAUCGUUCCUGGAUAUUUGUUUACUUGAAGGUGCCUGAAACUAAAGGCAUGCCUCUUGAAGGUAGCUGCUGCUGAUGCAUCUGUUGGAUUCCAAUGAUAACUGAUUUGAUUUAUUUAGAGGGUUUGAAAGUUUGGUUUGGCUUUAGACGGGAUUAUGAGGACAGGAUUUGAGUUGGAAAAAGUGUUGAUGACUGGAUUGGAUUUUUAGAAAGUGAUUUUGUAAUCAUCACUAUCUACUGAUUGCUUGUCUGACAUAUUUUUUAAAAAUUAGUGUCUGAUACUAAUUUGACUUGCCUAUUUUAACCAUUUAUUUAUAUCAUCAUUUGUAUCAUCUUUCUAAUAAAAAUGAGACUCACAUGCAUUUACAAGCCGUAAAAAAAUUAUAUACAAAUAGAUGAUAAAUAUAGCACUACUAUUUUUGUAAUAUUUUUUAAAAUUUUGUAGAACGAAAAAAAGGAAAAGAAGAGAGACUGUUUUAACUGCAGGCCUAAAAGCAGAGCCCUGUUGCCGCGUAGCACUAGGAAGUCAGUCAUCGUCUUCAGUCUUCACCAAAUUGAGUUAGAAGAAUUAGGGUUUUAGAGCUGCAAAGAUCCAAACUUUAUCAGUCUCUCCGAAAGUAAUUAGAGAAAUGGAAACCCAAUCAAGGGAUGGAGACUCUCUGGAGAAGCGGCCCGGCAUCUUCUUCCUCGGCUCCCCCGGCGUCGUCAAACGCUCUCUCAUUUCCCGUAUGCUCUCUCUCUUUCUCUCUCCUUUGGUCGAUAGAUUUCUAGGCUUACCGGGUUUGGAUUUUUGACGAUGCUUCUGAUUCUUCAUCGUCAUCUCAGCUGGUAGUUGAUGGGUAUGUAAAAUUUUGAACUUAGGGAUCAAAGAAUUCAACUCUUAUGAAUUUUGGGAACAAACAAUUCGUUUUGAAUUCUUUUGAAAUGUGUAUUUUGAUGACUUUUGUUGUAAAGAAAUAGAUGGAAUAUCUCUACAAAUUACUACACAGCUGGUGUUUCGGUAUGGUUGGUUCAUCUCCAUGACGAAUUUUUUAUAGAGUCCCUCCCAAUGUAUGAGCAGUUGGCUGCCUUGAUCUUGGUUUUCGACACAACUGAGGUUUUGGUCUCUUGCCACUCACUCUUUGUCACUUUGUUUACUUGUUUAUCAUGAUUUUCAAUGUGUCUUAUAUCAAUUUGCUCUCAUUAUGCUGCAGUUGUCGUCUCUGUCUGCGCUUCAGGAAUGGGUAUCUCAAACUGAUCUUCAAAAGUUCGAUAUACUAGUAUGCGUAGGGAAUAAGGUUGAUCGUGUUCCGGGUCACCCGGUUCGUGCCGAAUAUAGAAGACGACUGCAGAAGCUUGGAGACCCGUUUGCUGAUGCCGGUCCAGGGUUCACUGCGUAUGGAAUCUCCGAGACUGAAGGAAGCAGUUUAUUGGGGGAUGACGAGCCAUUUUGGGGGGCUAGCCACACAUGUUUGGAAUGGUGCACUGAGCAUAACAUUGAGUUCGUUGAAGCUUGCGCUUCAAAUACUGAUUUUGACAAAUGUAAGGUAGCCCUUCUUUCUGAUUUGUAGUUUAUGGCAAGUUUUAUACGAAAGUGAAAAAUAAAAAGUACCCUGCUCGAAGGUUACUUUCAUGUGUCAGCUUCAAUAUUAGAAAGAGUUGGUUAGCCUGAGAAAAUGAAUAAAAGUGAUAUCGUGAUAAAUGAGCACGUCGAUCGUACGGCACACAAAUUUCCUGCUUUGUUGGAUAUCUUUUAAGUUUAAGGUACUGUUUUACAGGUUUGUCAGUUGAUGGCGACUCGCAAGGUAUUGAAUGACUUUUUGGUGCUCUUUCCGCACAUAUGUGGCCUGAAAUGAUUCUGAAAUCAGGCGAUAAGAUUGCUGAACCGUCAUUACCUGAAAGAGGAGUAGGUUUUAUACUAUGCCGCUUAUAUUUGGUUUAUAAUAUAUAUUUUACUAUUAAGUAGGAUUCUAAAUGUCUGAAACUUGAAUCCUUUGUGCUAGACUUGUCAGAUGAAGAAUCUGAUUAUGAAUUUGAGUAUGAAGUCCUCUCUGCAGGUUCAGCUGAUCCAUUUGAUGACACGGAAGAAUGGGUUUCUGCGAAUGGUUUUGCUGGACCUUCAGAUAUGCGAGGACUGGCUGCUCAAGGUAAUCUAGUCCUAGAAUGCAAACAAGAGAAUGGAACCAGUUCUAAUAAGGAGGUUCCCCGUGCCUUGAACUCGACAGCUGCGUUGGAUGAUAGUAUUAGCAAAGGAGUAUCCAGUGCAGAAGAACCUGAACAGGACACAGAACAUGACCAAGCCCCAGAACCGGAUGAGGGUACGAAUUUUGAAUUUGAAGAUUUGGAACAGUCGAUGUCUGAGAUUGGGAACCUGCGCAACAGUUCGAGAUUGCUGCCGGAUUUUCAGAGAAGAGAUAUGGCUGAUAUGGCUGCAAUGCUGGCCAUGAAAAUGGCUACCAUGUUUGGGGUUGGCAGUGAUGGUGAAGUGGAAAGUAUCGGCGAGUAAAGGCUAUGAGUAUCUGUUGACCCUAGAAAUUACAAAGCCUACGUGGCGCGCAGGCCGAGUAUAUUCUAAGCUAACUACGUCCUUCGGUGAUUGCGGGGCGUGCCAACUCGUCGGCCGAGGUUCGGCCGAGGAAUAAAUUUGAUGAUGCUGUGUUGAGUCGCGCUACUGACUUUUGCGUCUUGCGAUUGCGGCCGAGAAAGGAACACGUCUCGGCCUCUUGGGUUCUCGAGCCUGAAGACAAGGCUGCUAUUUCUUACAAAGUUCACGAACCGAAUUCGGCUUGCAAUGUGCCGAAUAAUAACUGUGACACCUCACCUCGCCGAGAAGGCUAAUGAGAUGACCUCGACCAACAAGGAUCCGAAAACCCCUCUCGACCGAGACUUGGAUAGGUAACCGACCGUUCUCGCCGCAGUGCUGUUGAUGCCAACGGAAGAUACUGCGAGACCGACCGACUCUACGGUGACAGAGCUAUCUAUGCCGACUUAAGAUACCACCGGUUGCUUCCACAGUGCUGUUGAUGCCAACGGAAGAUGUGUCAGCGAAAAAGGAAAAGAAAAAGAUCUCAAGUUGUGAGAAUUUGCGCAGGGCAAUUUUGUAUUGAUUUUUGUGGGGGCCUCUUGAAUAAUGCACAGCCUCAUGUAUUUAUAAUACUAUUUACUGGCCAUGUUGAACUUUAUCCGUCGCGGCAUCCAAGCUAUCAAAAUAAUAUUCCUCAGAAUAUUUUCCUUCAACAACCCCACGGAUUGCUAUUCAAUUGUUAUCUUUUGCAUGCCCAAAAGAGACCAUAUCACUUGGAACUCUACUUCCCGUCAGACAGUAUCCUAAACAUCACCAACUCUUGCUUGGUCAAUCCUAAUCUUUCACCCAUCCACAUAUGCUUUAUCCACGCAUACAUGAUACUUAAAACAAAUGGUUAAUGGUUUUUGCUUUAUCUGCAAAAACUACCAUGAUCCUGUCACAUCACCUUGUUUUGGUUACUCCCCACAUCAUCUCAAUGUGCUGAUCAUCCCAUUACUUUGUGGAAUUGCUCCCCACGGUUCCGUAUACCAAAUAGAACUCCAAUGCUGCAUGGUAUUUUACAUAACCACAAUUAAUUCAAACUCUGUUGUUGUUGUUUUCAUUGGAGAUAAUGAAAAUCCCAUUUAUUCCUCCGUAUAAGAAAAGGAUAAAUAAUGAUUAUGAUAAAAAUCAUAAUAUUAUCCCUCUAUCUUCACUUUUCGAUCGACGGUGUAGAAACGUGCUUACUCAACGGCCUUGAUUACUCGGGCCGAUGGUGUAAAUUUGGGCUCAAACAUUGCCCCCCAAUUUCCUUGCACUUCGGCUCGUAAGCCGAAUGGUUAAGGAAAUUAGCGCAGUUGAAGAAAUAUAUAGUCGAAGAGAAUUGAGCAUCCACCGCCGCAUAAAAAAUCACUCGGCAGAAAGUUGUUCUAAAUACAACCUUGCCGAGGAAGAAAAGCAACCAUAUACCAGAUGAUUGGGUUCUAUGCCGAAUACCCAACAGACAGAGCAACAUGGAGAAUCAACAGCCUCGGCAUCAAUCUAUGACAGCACACAAUACACUAAAACACAUUUUCAUGCAAGCUAACUUUAUACAUACAUAUAUAUAUAUAUAUACAUAUAUAUAUAUAUAUAUAUAUACAUAUACAUAUAUAUAGUUGAGGUCAAAAGCACAUGCACGUGGUCUUAGUGUUCUUCUCAGUUGAGGCGCACAAAACCCAAAAAGAAAAACCAAAUCAACUAGGCAAUACCUUGACAAGCCGUCCUUGGCCAACUUCUUUUAUAUAUCUCGGCCAACUUUUUUUUAUUUUUUUUUUAUUCGGCUUUUAUUCGGCCUCGGUCUAGACGGUCGAAAUGCUCCUUUUUUCCAGUUUGUGCAUCAAAAAUUAUUCCUACUUUUUCUCUCUUCUGCACCGAGUAUCAAAUUUAACCGAGUAUCUGUGUAGCCCCCCUUAUUUUCUUAUGCAUCGGCUUAAUUAGCCAGAUGAUUAAGAAAAUAAUUUAUUCUCUUUUUUUUUUUUUUAAAAAAAAACAGAAGAAAACGAAAGUGGCCGAUCAAUAGUAAGGAGGAGGCCAACGAUGCUUUACUCCAAGCCGAGAUCUUUUAAUAUCAAAAUUCUCAAAUUGAUUUUGCUCUAGGCCGAAUAAAGAAUUUUCUCCAAAUAUUUUUGACUUGGUGAAAUAUUUUUCAUUCUCGGCCGCCGAAUGUGUUAAACAAUUAUUAUGCCCCCCAGGCAUAAUUUCGGCUUUUAAUUCAAACAACUUAGCCGAACAGGAUUUCUCCAUAUCGGCUUUAUUGCCAAUAAUCAUAUCAAUUGGCGUAGUUUCUUGGGCUAGGCCAAUAUCUUGGCCUUGUUCGUCAUUGGAGCAUUCCUCUGACGAAUCAUUUUCCAAGUCAAUUUUUGUAUCUAGCUCAAGAACUUGAAUUUUUUCUUCUAGGCCUACCACACUUUCAGUCUCGACCGAAAAAAUAGGUGGCUUUUGUUCUUCGGCCAAAUUAACAAUUUUCUUAGGCUGAUGUCUGAUUACGGCCGGAGCGAAAAAUUGCCCCCCGGCCUUUAGGCCUAACCAUUUUUCAAAUGGAAUAGAUUUGUAAUCAGAAACGUAAGGAAAAUUUUCUUCAUCUAGCCAGGCAUUAAAUCGAGCCCUGUCUUCAUUUAUCCAUUGCCCUUGUAGGAUAACAGGAGCUUUUAUUUUCAACAUGCAAGCGAAUGACUUUUGCAUCUCUUUAUGGCCACGAAGAACUUUUUAUGCUUCCAAAGAUUUUUUUUGUUCCUCAUUGUAUUUUUUCAAUUCCUCUAGGAGCUCGUGCAAUCGGCUAAAUGGAGCCAGAUUGACAUUUUGAUCUAUCAUGUGAACUUCGUAGUUUUAGCACUGGGUCCCACUGGGCGUGCCAAAAUGUUGACCCUAGAAAUUACAAAGCCUACGUGGCGCGCAGGCCGAGUAUAUUCUAAGCUAACUACGUCCUUCGGUGAUUGCGGGGCGUGCCAACUCGUCGGCCGAGGUUCGGCCGAGGAAUAAAUUUGAUGAUGCUGUGUUGAGUCGCGCUACUGACUUUUGCGUCUUGCGAUUGCGGCCGAGAAAGGAACACGUCUCGGCCUCUUGGGUUCUCGAGCCUGAAGACAAGGCUGCUAUUUCUUACAAAGUUCACGAACCGAAUUCGGCUUGCAAUGUGCCGAAUAAUAACUGUGACACCUCACCUCGCCGAGAAAGCUAAUGAGAUGACCUCGACCAACAAGGAUCCGAAAACCCCUCUCGACCGAGACUUGGAUAGGUAACCGACCGUUCUCGCCGCAGUGCUGUUGAUGCCAACGGAAGAUACUGCGAGACCGACCGACUCUACGGUGACAGAGCUAUCUAUGCCGACUUAAGAUACCACCGGUUGCUUCCACAGUGCUGUUGAUGCCAACGGAAGAUGUGUCAGCGAAAAAGGAAAAGAAAAAGAUCUCAAGUUGUGAGAAUUUGCGCAGGGCAAUUUUGUAUUGAUUUUUUGUGGGGCCUCUUGAAUAAUGCACAGCCUCAUGUAUUUAUAAUACUAUUUACUGGCCAUGUUGAACUUUAUCCGUCGCGGCAUCCAAGCUAUCAAAAUAAUAUUCCUCAGAAUAUUUUCCUUCAACAACCCCACGGAUUGCUAUUCAAUUGUUAUCUUUUGCAUGCCCAAAAGAGACCAUAUCACUUGGAACUCUACUUCCCGUCAGACAGUAUCCUAAACAUCACCAACUCUUGCUUGGUCAAAUCCUAAUCUUUCACCCAUCCACAUAUGCUUUAUCCACGCAUACAUGAUACUUAAAACAAAUGGUUAAUGGUUUUUGCUUUAUCUGCAAAAACCACCAUGAUCCUGUCACAUCACCUUGUUUUGGUUACUCCCCACAUCAUCUCAAUGUGCUGAUCAUCCCAUUACUUUGUGGAAUUGCUCCCCACGGUUCCGUAUACCAAAUAGAACUCCAAUGCUGCAUGGUAUUUUACAUAACCACAAUUAAUUCAAACUCUGUUGUUGUUGUUUUCAUUGGAGAUAAUGAAAAUCCCAUUUAUUCCUCCGUAUAAGAAAAGGAUAAAUAAUGAUUAUGAUAAAAAUCAUAAUAUUAUCCCUCUAUCUUCACUUUUCGAUCGACGGUGUAGAAACGUGCUUACUCAACGACCUUGAUUACUCGGGCCGAUGGUGUAAAUUUGGGCUCAAACAGUAUCUAAGAGAGAUGUGAGUGUUACACAUCCCUGAAUCCCCUUGGACUUUUUUCCACAACGUGGCAAGGAAAGGAGAAUCGGCAGUCUUCUUUUCUCUUUUACUGUAUAAGUAGGUUCAGAAUAGUCGAUACCAAUUAACCGUGCCCAAACCGAGUUUGUAAGAAACUUGUGCUUUUAAUGAAACAAUGGAAAUGUUGGGAUUGCAUUCGAAAAUCGAAGGGAUGAAUCGAUUCCUGUAUGAGCGCAAUUAGUGAUGAUGUUUCUCAACUUCGAUAUGAAAACCAACGUACAAAUUACAAAUUUCCUCCAAUGAUGGAUGCAAAUCAAUCUUAGUUGAUGAAUCGAUUUUAUACUAUAUAUUACUCCCUAUUCUUGGUAUAUUUUGGUUAUUAUUUUGGUGAGAUUUUGAUGCUUUGUUAUGUGUUUUUAAUGUAGGACAUGCGAACUUGUUAUGAGCAUAAAGUAAUCAAACAGUGGAUUUUUUGAGUGAUUCCAAUUGGAGCGGGUUUAUGAAUCUGUCAAGAAGGCUGUAUCAAAAUUUCAUAAUUUUAUCCCCAAGCAUUUGAUUGUGGCGAAUUAAUUUAUACCCAACGCGCAGUGUUGGCAUAUGGGGCUGCAGAGCUUAUUUGCGACUCCUGGGUUGGAAGAUGAUGGAUUUUGGACUUGGACUUGGACUUUUCUUGAAACUUGAAGAGGAGGUCCUUUAAUUCAAGUCGAUUUGGGCUUGUUUUGGAGCCCUAAAGGUCCAAAAACGUGGUUAUCUCUUUGCUGGGCAGAUUUCGUAGUUAGAAUAGGAAUGCAAUUCCUAGUUAUCCUUUUAUUAUUUUAUUUCCUAGUUUUUAGAAACCUUUUCUAUGAGGGUUUAAAUUGGGAGUAGUAUAAAUAAGGAUUUUUUAGCCAUUAGGGUUCUGGGGGGAGAAUGUAUGCAUUAUUUUGUAGAACUUCAAACUUUUUACCUACAAGGUGUUUUCAUUCUUUUUUCUAGUUAAUAUAUUUUAUUUAUUUUUUAUUAUGAUUGUUCGUAACUAGCUCUUUUGCUAGGGCGAAGCCACAAGCCUUAGCAUGAAUAUGUGAUUUUAUUAAUUUGCCUAUGAAUGGAUACAUGCUUGCUUUGAAUUAUUAACCACGACGAUUAAGCUAUCUAAUUGUUUUAGUGAUUCGUGAUCAUUAGGGUAUUAGACAAGCAAUUUGAUGCAAUUUCUGUUGGAACAUCACUCUGAAAUUGAGGAAGGCUUCUUGUGAUUAGUAAUUGUAAGUUCACUUAAGGUGAACAUCAUGCUCUUAGGGUUGCAUGGUUUUUUGAAGGGUUUUCACAAAGCUUAAUGAAUCUUACACGUUUAUAUUUGAUCGGGACAUCACAGACGGAUUGCAUGUUAGAUAUAUAUUUUCGCUUGAACAUCACAAGGAAAAUAUGUAUUAGGAAAACCUAACCUUCAAAGCAUGUAUGUAGAAAUUCAUAAGUAAUUGGUAAAAUUACAUAGGAUUGUUAAUGGUGACUGCAGAAUCCUAGUGUUUAAAUUGUUUUCCAAAACCUUUGUCUUUUGCUUUCUUUACUUUGUCAAGCACUUAAUUAUUUUUAUUUAAAUUCGUUUUUAUUAUUUUAAAUUCCAAAACCAACCAUUUCAAACCUUUGUUCUAAAUAAUUAGCUAAGAAUUAGUUUAAAUACAAAUUAUUCAUUCAAUCUAUGCGGCAAACAACCUUGUUUGAGCUAUUAUACUACGAUACCCUUGUACUCUUACAAAUAUUUUUAAGUGUUUUUAUUCCUACUUUUGUAGGUGAUAAAAAUCCUAUCAAGAAAUUGGUGCCGUUGCCGGGGAUCGUUUCAAAUAAUUUGUGUUUAUCAUAUUCUUAGUUAAUUAUUUUUGUAAAUAUCUUUUUACUUGUUGAUUUUAUUUUUAUUUUUAUAGGUUAUGUUUUGUUGGUUUUGAGAACAGUUAAACGAUGGGCUGGAAUCUACAACCAACAGGAGGGCUACCUUCAUGGAAUUAUAUCAAUAUGAGGAACUCUCAAAGGCCUAGGUGCGAUCCAUACUCAAAACUUUACAAUCUAAGAGCCCCUUGAACAGCCAACCGUGCCACAAAGAUCUACUCUAGAUGACAAACUUGCUGAAUUGGCAGAGUGUGUCAAGCAAUUUGUUGAUAGCAUGCCGAAUACCAAACCAUCAGCAAAGAUAAUUGAAGAGCAAGAUGGGCAGCUUUCGUAUCAAUUCAUAGAAAAUGAGAACGAUUCAUAUUCAAACUUUUACAAUCGGUGGACAGAGCAUCCUACUUCUAUGUGGGUAAGCAAUCAACAGGCUUUUCAGCAGCCCUGUGUGCCACAAAAACUUUCUUUGGAGGACCAGAUUGCUAAGUUGGAGGAGUCCACUAGGUUGUUCAUGGAGGGUACCCCUUAGUUGCAGAAAAUAAAUUCAAUCGACAAUCUGGCACAGCAAAUCGAGCAUCUCACGUAUCAAUUGGAAGAACAAGAAAACGAUUCCAAUUCAAAUUUCCCUAAUCAACCAAUCGCAAACCUACAGGGUUCAAAGGAGUGCUCUGCAGAUCAAACAUUGAGAUGGGGGGAAAACCAACGAUACUACAAUGGAAGAAUCUGAAAUUGAAGGCCCAACGGGAGAAACAGCGCCUACUGACCUUGAACCUGUUAUGACCCAAAGGCAGCAGCAGACCAUGACGGAUCAACAAAAUCAAGAUUCUAUGCGGACACAUGCAAAAGUGCACAUUAAUCUGCCGCUACAGGAUGCGACUGAAAAAUCUCCAAAGCAAUCACUAAAUUUCAAUUUAUUCGAGGCUCCAAGGCAACCCGCUAAGCAGCAGGAAUGCAUGAAUACUCAAACAGAUUUGGAUACAGGGCAGACGGGUGGUGAUGAGAAAUUUUUAAAUGCUGUACUGGAUAGUACACCAGCACAGCCGAUCAUAUUUAGAGAAAUUUGGGGAAAGUCCUACAAGCAAGCUAAGAUUUGCAUGGGAAAUAAGAAAAAGCUUAAUGGCAGCUGCAUUCUUCGUCAACAAAUUCUACUAGUGCAAAGGUUGUGGGUGUUAAAUACAAGGUUCAAGUCAUCCAAGUAUUGAACUUUGAGUGUGUGGAUUAAUCUGUUCACAUGUGUGCAAUAUGAUUUGGCCGAUGAUAAUAAGUUCACCAAGUGUUUCAAGAAAUGCCGUAGUGAAUAAACUAAAUUUUCUUUUUGAGUGGUUCCGGCUCUAUUCCUAUCUAGGAAACUUGGACCUUCUAGGACCUCCAAUGUUUAUUCUACAAAGUAUUGCUUGUGAGUGCUCUGGAUUGCAAAUUAUGAUUCCAGGCAAUAAAGUUUCAAGACGGUUUGGCUGUACCCAUAAAGAUCAAACGACAUUUGAACUUCCUCUAGAUAACGAAGGAUGAGAGAGAGGUAAAUCAUGUGUUGCUCAUUUUUUCAGCUUAGCUGACAAUUAAUUAAUUAAGUCCGUCGAAAAAAAAUACAAAACAAAGAUGUGGCCUUCGAAAGUGGGCAAAUGGGUCGGAAUUAUUAUUUCAUUCCCGGUGAAGAAAGGCCACAGUUGAUUACAAUAUCAAAAAAUAAUUGAAUACAGACAAACUAUAGUGAUCAGAUCAAAGGAAAAAGAAACUCCAUAGUGGAGAGAAAUUUACCUACAUCAUCAUCGGAGAUACUUUCCUUGGUAUGGCCACUAUUAGUAAUAUUUUUAUAUUUUUCAGUUGUCUGUGAUUAUUUUAAAAUAUUAUAACGGUGGAUUGUUACAUCAAAGGUAGUUGGUAGUAGUUUGCAACAAAACUUUAUCUCCUUUAAAUUAAAGAACCCCAAGUAACAAUUUUAUAUUUUUCAAUCGUCAAUGAAACUGCCUAGAAAAUUCAUCUCCUUCAACUUGACACCACAUUCAUAUUGAAAGGUAGUAGGUAGGAAACCGCUUGGUAGGUAGGAAGAAAAGCAUGAGGACUAAUAUAACAAGAGAGAGUCCACAUUCACAUUGAAGGUGGUAGGAAACUGCUGCUUCCUUCAAGGGAAGAAAAGCAUGCGUAAGGCCUGAUAUUAAUAUAUAUAACAAGAGAGAGUCCAAUGUCCACACUCCAUAGUCCAUACCAUACUGCAUAUUCCAAUUCUUUGAGAGGCCUCUUUUCUUUAGUUUAUUUGUCUUUAAUUCUCUUAUGGCCAUUCAACUUGCCUCUUCUUCUUCCUUGCCUCCUUCAUGGACAUAUGAUGUAUUUUUGAGUUUUAGAGGUGAGGAUACACGCUUUACUUUUACAGAUCAUUUAUACGAGGCCUUGCAUCGUAACAGAAUCGACACCUUCAUUGAUCGCCAUUUUAAAAGAGGAGAAGAAAUAUCACCGGCUUUUCUAAAGGCAAUUGAAGAGUCGAGAAUUUCAAUCAUUGUAAUCUCUGAAAAUUAUGCAUCGUCAAGAUGGUGCUUGGAUGAGCUCGUACAUAUCCUUGAAUGUAGAAGGUCAAGGCAGCAAAUAGUUUGGCCAGUUUUCUACAAGGUGGAUCCGUCCCAUGUACGAAAUCAAACGAGUAGGUUCGGUGACGCAUUUACAGGACUAGAGUGCAAAUACAAGGACGAGGAGAAGAUCCUCUUAUGGAGGAGUGCUCUUAAAGAAGUAGCAAAUUUGUCAGGACAUACUGUCAAAGAGGAAGAGUACGUACAUUUCUUCACUCCUUUUAGUUUGUUUAAUUAUAUGAUUCUGUAUUUCAGGUUUUAGUUUCUACUAAAAUAAUACCUAUUUAGUUGCUAGUUUUUAAAUCCCUAGCACUUAAAAACUGCAGCAAUUCCAUAAUUUUCCAGCUUUGUUGAAUGGCAAGUCUAUAAUUUACAUAUGAAGAAGAUAACUCUUAUCAAUGCUACUAUAUAAAGUUGGAAGCCCAUUUGCGGUCACGGGUUUCACCAUAAAUGAUGGGAUAAAAAUGCUCCUCAAAUAAAAAAGUUCAAAAAAGUCUAAAAUAAUACAUGAAAUAAUGUAGGAAUAUUUUGGUAAUAUAAACAGCAUUUUUUUUAUAAUUAAUUUUUUUGUACAGUUUUAUUUUAUAUUAUUUUUAUAAUUAAUACCAUAAUGUGUUAGUAAUAAUGUGAUUUAAUCAGUUGUUAAUUAAAUAUUAUUUUCUCUAUUUUUAAACAUGUUCAAAACAUCUUAAAAGAUAUGUAAUGCCGGUUAUAAAAAUGAUAUUUCUUGCGUGUAUUAUCUACAUUAAUGAAAAGGGGAUAGAUUUACUCCACACGCGCUACGCGCAUGAAGGCCAGUUUAUGUUAAACCUACAUGACCAUCUUCUUCAUAUAUAAUUAUCGACUUGUCAUUCACCAAAGCUAGCGAAUCAGGGAGUGACUCCUGUUGUUGCGGGCACUCCUCUUUCGUGUAAUACUCUGUCAUUGUUUUUGGGAACUGAUAAACUCACCCCGUUACUCUUAUCUUCCCACACAUUAUUAUUCCAUCCGCCAUACAAAAUUAAAAAAAAUUAAAAAAAAUUAACAUCUUAUUUUCCAACCCCUAUAAUCUACAUAGUCAUUGGUUUUGUUGGAGAGUUGUAGAGAGCAAGAGAUCUGCUUCAUCAAUUCAACUAAUUUAGUUCGAAGCAAAAGAAUUAAAUCGAAAAAGUGGAAGUAAGAAUAUCAGAAACAGUUAAAAAAAAAAUUCGAAUCUGCAAGUAAAGGGGAAGCAGUUUAAGAGGGAGAGCGUACCGGCGAGCUUCUCAGCAUCGAACCAAGAUUCUGAUUCCCCUGUCCUCUCUCUCUCUCUCUCUCUCUCUCUCUCUCUCUUAAAUUGCUCUCCUAAAGCCGAGAUUUGAUUCAAAUGACCUGGAAGCUAUCAAAUUAAAGAUGCAAAAUUGCAACAAAACGUCCAAAAUUUUAAAAUUUGUUGGAAAAAUCCACAAACUGAUGAACAUAUUUGGAAUUGGAGCCCUAGAAAUCACAGAAACGAACCAUGAGAAAUGCUAUCUGUCGGUGGAUUCUUGAACUUCUUCCGCCACCGGAAUAAUGGAUCUUUCUCCCACCGAUCAAAACUUGACUCCAUUAAUUAAUCUGCCCAAAUAAUGUACCUAUGGUGUUGUUUUAUAAUUUACCGAUUACUAAUGAUGUUAGGUAAAUUAGUACUUUUAGGAAAUAAAUGAUACAUAUCCAUACAAAACAUCUGCUUUCAUCGGAGAAAUUUUAUUUAAACUCAUAUAAUCUUUUUUUACAUCAAAUUUACUCUCUUCAUUCAUAUUGUUUUUUUAUUAAAAAAUUAAUCUCUCUUUAAACCCAAAUUUAUUACCUAAACUAUCCACUCAAACCCAAUUCAAAAUAUUAAAUUAUCUUUACACGUAUUUCCUUUAUAAAAUAACAUCUGUAAUUAAUUUUUUUUUAAGAAACGUCUUUGCCCCACCCCCCUCUCCUAGUAGCAUUUUCAUGGCUACUUUUUUUCUUUCUGCUACCAAAUCUAGACAUUUACCUUUUUUUCUUUAUACUGAUGUGCAUAAGCAACAAAUCAAACCAUUCAUCCUCUUAUAUUAUCAACAAGCAAUGAAGUUUAUAAUCUAAGAACAUUGGUAAGAAGUUUUUCCUUAUAAUUUUUCAAUUGCAGAAAGCUUAACAAACCAUUCGGAAUUGAUGAAAAAAAUUUAAAUCAAAUGAACAAAAUAUUCAUAAAUUAAGUCAUACCUUAGUUGGAGGAUUCAAAACUUCAAAAUCACCAUCCAUCAAUAAAAAAACUCGUUUUUCUCUAGAAGACCUAUUAGGGUUUUAGCCAGAAUGAAGGAUAAACAAGAAGUGAUGGUAGAGUUUAAUGGGUUUAUUGAUAAAUUUGAGUUUUAUUAUUAAUUUCAUUUUGUACUUAAUAGUAAUUAUGCAAUAUGUUAAAAUAGACAACAACAUAACAUUUAAAUGAAAAAAAAAGUCUAUGUCUUAUUGUUAUUUUUUUUAAACAAAAGGGAAAAAAAAAAGGAAAAAGUCAAUGUCUUAAGUAUGGAUAUGGAAAGAUGUUAGGAUUUUACACAGUAAUAAACAGUGUGAAAUUGUGAAUAAUGGCAUAGGGGUAAAUAAUUUUUAUUAAUGUGUCAAUUAUUAUCUUACAUGAUUCUGUGUUUAGCUGCAAGCGGCACAUACUUGACUGCAGCAGUGAUUAUCCAUUCCUCUGUUUUUUGGACCUGGAUUGUCUGCCCUCAUCAUUCCAUGCCUUCCUAUUUAUGUGGUCACGGUUAAGCCACGUCAACAUUUUAUAUUGAUUUUGCUUUUUGUCUUAUUAUUUUUAUAAAAAAAAUUAAUAUAAAAUGUUAACGUGGCUUAACCGUGACCACAUAACAUAAGAGGGCAUGGGGAGGGCAUGGAAUGGGAAGGGCAGACAAUCCAAGUCCCUGUUUUUUUCAAUCUUUUUUUUCUUUUCAUUCUCUUCUUCUUUUUACAUUUUUUUUUCCUUUUUUAAAGAAAUAUAGCAGAAAAAGUUGAUUGGCUAAAUGUGUCAAUUUUUUAUAUAAACUGGUAGGUAUGAAGCUACAUUUAUCAGUAAGAUCGUAAAGGAGAUCUUGGUCCGCAUGCAACAACGCAUGCAUUUGAACGUAGCCAAAUACCCAGUUGGAAUUAAGUCCUGUGUAGAAAAGGUGAAAGAGCUUUUAGGUCUCGGUGGAAAUGAUCCGUGUGUGGUUGGGAUUUGGGGGGCAUCUGGAAUCGGCAAGACAACAGUUGCAAAAGCUGUUUAUAAUGCAAUUGCUUAUAAGUUUGAAGGUAGUUGUUUCCUGGCAGAUGUUCGAGAAACGUCAAUGCAAUACGGAGGCCUAUUCCAACUACAAAACACUCUUCUAUGGGAGAUUGGUGGUUCAGAGUGGAAAGUUGUCAAUCCUCAUAGAGGAAACAUCCUUAUAGAGAAACUGUUGAGGCGAAAGAAAUCUCUCUUAAUUCUUGAUGAUGUGGAUGAUUUGGAGCAGUUAAGCAACUUGGUUCAAGUUAAAUGGCUCGGUGAGGGUAGCAGAGUGAUCAUAACCACAAAAAAUAAAGGAUUGCUGGAAUCUUGUAAAGUUGAGCUGAUAUACAAGGUCCAAAAGUUAGAAGACAACAAAGCUCUUGAGCUUUUUAGUUGGAAUGCCUUCGGAAAAGAAAAACCUCCAGAUGAUUAUUUGGGACUCGCACGGCGUGCAAUAGGCUAUGCUCAAGGCCUCCCGUUAGCUCUUAAUCUUAUAGGUUCUCAUCUGCGUGGUAAAAAUAUAGAUCGUUGGCAAGAUAUUUUAGAUAGUUACGAUGAAGAACCUUAUAGAGGGAUUCAAAGAGUACUUCGGAAAAGUUAUGAUACCUUGGAUUAUGUCCCGCAACAAGUUUUCCUAGACAUUGCAUGCUUCUUCAAGGGUGAAGAUAAAGACAAAGUUUUACAGAUAUUAAAAGGAUCAAACCUCAAAGUACGUCAACAUUGUAUUGAUGUUCUCGUUGAGAAUGCCAUUAUUACUAUUGAAUAUAAUAGGAUUUUGAUGCAUGACUUGCUAGAAAAAAUGGGUAAGCAUAUAGUUUGGGAAGAAUCGCCCACUGAACCAGGCGAGCGGAGCAGAUUAUGGCAUCAUGAAGAUGUGUACCAUGUUCUAACUAAAAAUAGAGUAAGUAGAAUAUAUGUUCUUGCAUUUGAUUUAAUUGGCAUGAUUUUGGAAAGAAAAAAAAAUUAAAUCCUUUUGAUUUCUUUGUUAUACAAUUUGUUUGUUAACGCUAUUUAUUUUUCCAUCUUAGGGAACAAAGAAAAUUAAGGGCAUUGUGGUGAAGUUGCCCAAGCUAGAUGUGAUACCCUUGAAUGCAAAAAGCUUUUUCAAGAUGGUAAAUCUUGAAAUUUUUAUAAUCCAUAAUGCAUAUUUUUCUGGAUGCGUUGAGUAUCUACCCGAAAAUUUGAGGUGGAUUAAAUUCGGUGAAGAUGGGCUUCAAGACUGGGGAUCCAAACUUAAAUUCAAUUUGCAAUCCAAUUGUCAUCUAAGGCAUCUUGUCACGUUUAUUAUGCCAAACAGUGACAUCAGACAAUUGAAGGUAUUUCAGGUAUGUAUACGUAUUAUAAAUUAAUUUGGACAAUUACUAAUUUAAUUGUAUACUUUAUUUUUGGAAAAAGAAAUUUGCCAAAGCUUUUCAUCAUUAAUUAUUUUAUUUAAAGUUUGUGAUUUUUUUUUUAUUUUGAUUUCUCAGAAUUUGGCAAAGCUUACAUCUUUGAAUUUAAGUGGUUCCGAAUUCUUAGAAAAAAUUCCCAACUUAUCCGGAAGUCCAAACCUAAGGGAGUUGAUACUAAAUAAGUGUAAACGUUUAGUUGAAGUUGAUGAUUCUGUUGGAUUCCUUGAUAAACUUGUUACAUUACGUCUUGUUGGGUGCUCUAGGCUUAAGAGAUUUGUGACGAGACUUAGAUUGAGAUCCCUUCAAAGGCUUAAUCUUGGUGGUUGCACAAGGCUCAAGAGUUUCCCAGAAAUAGAGGUCAAGAUGGAAUCUCUAGAGUAUUUGGCUAUAGAAGAAAGUGGCAUAAGAGAAUUGCCUUCAUCAAUUGCAUAUCUUACUGGGCUUCAAAGAUUGCAUGCAAAUUAUUGUGAGAACCUUACAGGUACAUCAUUACAUCACAUUUAUGGGUUGCAACAUCUUUACUAUAUUGAAAUGAAUGGAUGCCCAAAACUGGUGACAUUUGGGAAGUUUUCAACUCGCUUAGAUACUUCACAUUACAACGGUAUGCCAUUAGCCAUUUUCAACGUAAGCCGGCUUUAUCUUAUUGGAUGCAAUUUAUCAGAAAGUGAUUUCCUUGUGCCUCUUCAAUAUGAACCAUCCAAUCUUCAUUGCUGGUCCACAUUAGAAGAUCUUGAUCUGUCGGCAAACAAUUUUGUUAGUCUUCCGGAUUGCAUUAGCAAAUUUGUCAACUUGAAUGAGCUUAGAUUGCAAGGUUGCAAGAGGCUUCGGGAAAUUCCACAUGCCCUUCCACCAAAUCUAAGUGAUUUAUAUCUGGAUGAUUGCACAUCAUUGGAAAAAAUUCCAAAGUUGCCCUUGGGGCUUAGGCGUCUGCAGUUGACUAAUUGCUUUGGACUAAGUGGCGAUGAGGUGGCAAAGUUGGAAAAUAAUUUGUUGAACUUGAAUCAGGUUCGUCUCUCCUCUUUUAAUUUCUCUUGAAAUUAAAAUAUAUAAUUUGUCGAUACUUGGGAGGGAGAACAGAUGACGAUUGUUUGUAAUUAGUUAUUUACAUAUUAUUCACUAUUGCAGGAAUCUCUUCUGUACUCUCAAUUGCAAGUUAUGUAUCCAGGCAAUGAAAUUCCAAAGCGGUUCAGCUAUGCGUCUAAAUAUCUAACAGCCACUAGGAUUGAAAGUAUACGAAAUGAAGAUGAAGAAGAUGAUGAAGAAGAUGAUGAUGAAGAUGAAGAAGAAGAUGAUGAUGAAGAUGAUGAAGAAGAUGAUGAAUAUGUUGGAGGUAGUGAAUUUAGUAUUGAAAUUCGUCUAAAUUUACAGGAGAGGGAGACGUUAUUAGGAUUGGCUCUAUCUUGUGUUUUUCCACCACGGGUAUCAGAAUUUGGAUGUUUUUACCAUUUUCGUAUUUACAUCAACGAAGCAAGUGAUUUUGAAUUAUUUCAUUGGAUGGGGAAGAGCAUGGAGACAGCUCAUAUGGGGCUCAUGUUAGUGGAUUUAGAGAAGCAGGGAGAUAUUUGUAAAGUUAAACUUCAAUUCCCCGUAUGGGCACGCAUUAAAAUGUGCGGGGUGCACCCCUUAUUCCGCAAAGAAGAUGAUCGGCAACAACAAUGGCCUUCCUUAUCGUCGAACCCAGCGAUGAUCAACCGAAACGCACGCAGAUUGAUCACAAUGUUCCUUCUGAUAUUAAGGUACGGAAAAGCCCUUGAGCUUUUCAGUUUUAGCAAUUUUUUUAUUGUUCUUUAUUGUGAUAUCAUUUUUUAAAUUAAUAUAAUAGAAAUUAAUUAAUUUAAAUUAAAUAAAGGAAAAAAUUUGAACAGUUUUCAAUCUGCAUAAUCAAAGAUUUCAUAUCUGUAGGUGGUUAGUUAUUAGAAAAACAGAAACCACAUUUGUAUCUUGAAGUACAUUUCACUAAUCAAAUCAAAUUCUAAUUAAUCAAAACAAACAAUUAUGGAAGGGAAACAUACAAGGAGAAAUGAGAUUAUAAGUACAAAAUUCAAGAUUAAUUACCUAAAAACUUGGUUUUGUUCAUAUAAGUACAAAAUUUCUACACGAAGAUCAAAGAACUACAUCGUAUGUAAACCACAUGCUUCUCUUUGUUAAUCAAGUUUACACGCAGAGAUGAAAGACUUGUAGGACUACUGUUUAAUCAAGAAUCGGGGUUUGCAACUAUUUUUUUAUUAGCAUUUACUUCUGCUUUUUCAAUUAAUGGAUACGUGGAAAAUUUGAUUUGGUGUGGAUUUAGAAAAGAAGCAGGGAGAUAUUUGUAAUGUUGAAUUUCUUUUCCUCAAGGGCGCAUGCAUUAAAAGUUGCGGGGUGCACCCACUAUUGCGCAAAGAAGACGAAUGGCUUCCCUUGUCUUUGGGACCAACAAGUAGUCUUGGAAAGACGCCUCGUCCACUUGGAUCCUCAGAUACCGUCCACGAGGAAUAUGAUCGGCAACGACAAUGGCUUUCCUUAUCUUCGAACCCGGCGGAUGAUCAUCCGAAACGCAGGCAGAUUGAUCUUAAUGGUCCUUUUGAUAUUGAGGAGGAGGAGCAAGAGCAACCAUCCACUUCAGAUGAUUCACAAUUUUUUCUUCAUUAGGAGUUUGGGUACGUACAUUUCAGUUUUAGUAUAACUAAAUAAUUUUUUUAAUUUUUUUUUGUAUUGUGAAUUUGUGAUACCUUUAUAGAUUAAUAUAAUAAAAUUAAUUAAUUUAAAUUAAAUACAUAAAAAAAAGAAAAUUACAUUUUACCUCCUCAACUUUGGGUCACAUAACAAUCUCAUAUUUUAUCUUUUAAAUAUUGCUAUAUUAUACAUCAAUUUACAAAUUUGCUGCAAUAUCAUGCCUCCAUCAACUUUUCUGUUAAUUUUUAUGUUAAAUGCUGAUGUGGUAGACACGGAUCCGCUCACUUACUUAACUAGGUUAUAAAAUUAAUUUAAUAUUAAAAAUUAAAGAAUUUUUAGUUCUAAAUUAAAUUAAAAUUAACAAAUAAAUUGAUGGAUAUUUUAACGGAGGUUUAAGAUUGCAACAAAUUCGUAAGUUAACUAAGACAUUGUAAUGUUUAAAAGAUGAGGUAUAACUUUGUUAUAAGACCCAAAGUUAAGGUGGCCCAUGUAAUUUACCCAAGAAUUUAAACAAUUUUCAAUUUGCAAAAACAAAGAUUCCAUAUCUGUAGGUGGCUACUGGCUAAUUCUUAGAAAAACAGAAACCACAUUUGUAUCCUAAAGUACUUUUGACUGUGAGUGAGUAAGCCACACUUCAAUAAUAAAACCAAAUUCUAAUUAAUCAAAACAAACAACAAUGGAAGGAAAACAUACAAGGAGAAAUGAGAUUAUGAGUACAAAUUUCAAGAUUAAUUAUCUUAAAACUUGGUUUUGUUCAGAUAUAUAAACCUACAAAGAGAAAUGGAGAUUAUAAGUAUAAAAUUUCUGCAGGAAGAUCAAAGAACUACACCGUUUGGAUGAACAUGUAGAGCACGUACUCCUCCCUCUGUUAAUCAAGUUUACACGCAGAGAUGGAAAACUUGUUGGAGUACUGUUUAUAUAAGAGUACUUUUUAUGAGCAUUUCCAAUUAACGAAUAGGUGAAAUUUUUUGAUUUGGUGUUGAUUAAUAAGAUUUAGUAUGAUUUUAAUAUCAAGAUGAGACAACAAUAUGUAGAAAACAUGGCCAUAAUUUCACAGGUCUCUGUCCCUAUAUAUUGAUUCCUUGCAGAUUCUGGGAUGGAGUUUGGGUCAAAAUUGCAGCCAACUGUGUCUUGACACAUUUUUGGUUUUGGACAAAUACUCUGUCUCCUGCCUUUUGCCAUUUAUGGCUCCUUUGUUUUCUCUGUUGCUGCUGGGACAGAGUCCAUUAGAUUUGCCCGUUUAUUUUCUUUGCUCCCACAAACGGGGUGCAGGAGGCUAAAAAAUGAGCUUUGAAAUUUAUAGGGCCCGUUUAUUUCAUUCCAUUGACAUUUUCAAGCUAACUUUUUGGCUUCUAUGAUCCACAGGUGAGUUGGCUUCGCACAGGCAAGGAAACAUCAUUGGAAGAGUUCAUCCUUAGUCCCCCCAAUGUGCUUACUGAAAAUCAGGGAAAUCAAAUACGGCUAUAUGGUCCCGAAAAGGGCUUAUCAUACAUCGCCAAACCUGCAACUGGACAGAGUUUUAUAUCUCACCACGGGAGCACGUUGAACCUAAGCAUGCCUCUCGUGGAUCCUCUGGUCACUCUCUUUGGCAGUGUCCACGAGAAGAUGUCCGAAAGGGGAAGCAAAGGCAGCAUGCUUUAUCCAAAUCUUGGAAGCAUUUUGAAUGCAGGGGAGUAUCAUAAUAAAAACGCACAUUGGGACAUAGAGAGCCAGACAGAUGGUGAGGAUCACGAAUCUGAAGCAUCCGGGGCUUAUUGUGAUGAAAGCUUGAGAAGUCCACUAAUCUCGUGCCAAACAACAGGCAUGGGAACGCCUAGGUCUUGCGGCAGUGCUUUAGGUGUGAGAUGCAAUACAAUCUUGAUGAAAGGAAAUGUACAAGCUAGCGAGGCUAUCAGUAGUAGUAUGGACACUGGUGGAGGUUGGCAGCUGGCUUAUAUAUAAGUAUUCUGACCGAGUAGGCGAAGACGGGAAGAAGGAAGGAGGAGUUCAAAAAGUGUAUUUGCAUCAGGAUAGUGCACUUUGGUGUCGGCCUGCGUCGGUUGUUUCAAUUUCUGGUGCAUUCAUGGUGGUCUGGUUAGUCAGCCUGAUGUUUCAGAAACUUUCUUGUUUGUCAACCUUCUAUGUUGUCGGGUGCAUCGAUUCUUGGAUAUUUGUUUACUUGAAGGUGCCUGAAACUAAGGGCAUGCCUCUUGAAGUCAUCUCUGAGUUCUUUGCUGCAGGUGUAAACCCAGCUGCUGCUGAUGCAUCUGCGGAUUCCAAUGAAAAGUGAUUUGAUUGUUUAGAGGGUUUGAAAUUUGGUUUGAUUUUAGACUGGGAUUGUGAGGAUAGGGCUUGAAUUGGAGAAGUGCUUAUGACUAGAUUGCUUUUUUUUAAAGUGAUUUUCUAAUCAUCAAUGUCCCUUCCUUAAUGCUGCAGAAGUAUAUUUGAUAUGGAAAACUAAUGAAAAUGGCUUGAAAACCCUAUUUGAUACCAUGUUUUCUAAUCAUAGAUUCUUAAUCUAAUCCUAAAUAUUGAUUGAAGUUUAAAACAGUCUAAUUAACCACCCUUGUAGUUCCAAAUUGAAGUUUAAAACAGUCUGCACUUAUAUUUUCCUAUCUAUUUAAUUUUAGGCAGACAUAUAUUGUUGUAGACACUCUUUCUUAUUAUUGUGAUCAUAUACCAAAUAACUCAAUAUAGAUCACAAUAAUUCUUACUGAAGUAUGGUUUAAAUUUUUGUUAGAUAUGAAACUGAUCAAAAUCAAAUUGCUCAUGCGUUACAUUGUAUUUAAAAAAAACGUGUGUCUAACACUAAUUUGAUUUGCAUACUGUCUUAUAAGAUCUUAUUUAACUCGUGACAAAUAAUAGUAUAUGACUUGCUAAUUUAUUUACAAAGGAGAAAUUCACUAACUUUACGUAUCCUAAACGGCCAAUAUAUGCACCUGAGUUUGAAUUUUCAUUCCCAUAAUAUAGAUUUUUUUUUUAAGUUUGUAUGAAAAGAAUUUUACAAUGUCUUGAAAAAAUAUGAAGGAAGAAAAAAAGAAACUGUUUUUAACUGCUGCCUAAGCUGAGCCCAGUUGCCGUGUAGCACUAGCAAGUAGCAACAGGAAAGUCUGCUGAGAAAAGUCAGUCAUCGUCUUCACUAAAUUGAGUUAGAAGAAUUAGGGGUUUAGAUUUGCAAAGAUCCAAAUUUUAUCAGUCUCUCCGAAAGUAAUCAGAGAAAUGGAAAGUCAACCAAAGAACGGAGACUCGCUGGAGAAGCGGCCCGGCAUCUUCUUCCUCGGCUCCCCCGGCGUCGGCAAACGCUCUCUCAUUACGCGUAAGCUCUCUCUCCUUUGACCGAUACUAAGCAUGAUCUGUUGAUUUGUUGGAUUACUGGGUUUGGAUUUAUACAAUGCUUCUGAUUCUUCAUCGUCAUCUCAACUGGUAGUCAAUGGGUAUGUAAAUUUUUAAUUUUGGGAUCAAAGAAUUCAAUUUUAGGAAUUUUGGGUACAAAGAAUACAACUUUUAGGAAUUUUGGCAACAAAGAAUUCGUUUUUAAUUCUUUUGAAAUGUGAAUUUUGAUGAUUUUUUUUGUGUUAAAAAAAUAGAUGGAAUAUCUCUACAAAGUACUACACAGCUGACGUUUCGGUAUGGAUGGCUCGUCUCCAUGACGAAUUUUCGAUUGAGUCCCUCCCAAUGUUUGACCAGUUGGCUGCCUUGAUCUGGUUUUCGACACAACUGAGGUUUCCGUCUCUUGCCACUCACUCUUUGUCAUUUUGUUUACUUAUUUAGCAUGAUUUUCGAUGUGUCUUGUAUCAAUUUGUUCGCGUUAUGCUGCAGUUGUCGUCUCUGUCUGCGCUUCAGAAAUAGGUAUCUUGAACUGAUCUUCAAAAGUUCGAUAUACUAGUGUGCAUAGGGAAUAAGGUUGAUCUUGUUCCAGGUCACCCGGUUCAUACCGAAUAUAGAAGACGACUGCAGAAGUUUGGAGACCAGUUUGAUGAUGACGACGAUCUAGGGUUCACUGUGUAUGGAAUCACCGAGACUGAAGGAAGCAGUUUAUUGGGGGAUGACGAGUCAUAGGCCAGAGACACAUGUUUGGAAUGGUGCACUGAGCAUAACUUUGAGUUCGUCGAAGCUUAUGCUGAUUUUAACAAAUGUAAGGCAGCACUUCUUUCUGACUCGUAUUUUAUGGCAAGUUUUAUACGAAAGUGAAAGUUUGAAGCCGGAUGAGAUGUCAAAUUGUUACUAGGCAGCAGUUUAGGUGUGGUUACAUAAAAACACAUGGUGUACCAUACAACUAAAAAUUUCUCCCACAUAAGCAGCACACAGGAUAAACUCAAUUGAACAAGUUGUUGCUCAGGCUCUUUUGUUCAUGAAGAAAUUUUUCAUUAUUGUGCCUAGAAUCAAGUUUUUAAUUUUUUUUUCACACAAAUAUCUCAUCACUUGUUUAGUGACACAUGAUGUAUCACCAUGUGUUAUGGGUAUACUGAAAAAUCUCUCGGCUCUAUCUCUGUCAUCUUAUAAUUUAAUUUCGAUUUUCGUGCCAACAUUACAAAACAUUAUUUCAAAAGUAUGAAGUGAAAGAUAUUCUAUGGAGACUAGGAAUAUAAGUUGCUUAUUAAGGUUUUUAUUUGACCAAUGUGAUAUUUUGGUUAGGUAAGUAAUUGAAGGUGAACGUUCUUAGUUAUCUGAAAACAUUUUUCUGAUGGUUUUAGAAGCAGCCCAAGUGACCGGUUCGAUAUUUAGGUAAGGAGGUAAAUGAUUAUGUACAAGCGUCGAUAACAUAUUCAAAAUCUAAAGCACUUAUAAACUAUCAUGAAGUAAACGUUCUUGAUUAUCUAAAGCACUUGCAAAAUUAUUAAGAAAAGGAUAUUCUUAGUUAUCUGAAAACACUUUUUUCUCAAUAAUUUUUAGAGGCAAUUUCGCAGUGUUGAGAUGUUAGCUUCGAAGGCACUCCAACUUGCAAAGAGUGCUCCACAAAGUUCAACAAAAGUAGAAACAAAAUCAAUUAAAAAUCCCAACUCACAAGUGAGAGCAAUGGUUAUGCUUCAAGGUCCAACCAUCUGACCUCUCUAAGUUAGGCUUCAAUUUUACUUCAUUUCCCACUCCAAAUUUCCAAGCAUCUGUACCCCAUUGACCCUUUGCCCGCUUUAAGCAAUCUAGAAAAAUCAUUUACAUAAGAGAAAUACUAAGUGAAUUCUUUCAAAACGAACUUUUCAUAACUCUUCGUCACAAAAAAUAAUUCAAUUUUAUUGUCUCCUUUGCAUGCAAGAAUUCAAUUUAUACCUAGCUGAUGUACAUCAUUGUAUAAAAUUCCAAAACUACCAGUGCUUUGGAUUCUGGACCUGACUAAUCACUGUAGACUAAGUAGUGAUGAGAUGGCAAAGUUGGAAAUAACUCGUUGAAUUAGGUUCAUCUCUUCUUCUUAAUUUCUGAUGAAAUGAAAAUUAAUCUUGUUGAUAACUGUAAUUAUUUAACUAUAUAUAUACAUUACUGCAAGAACUUCUUCUGCGUUCUGAAUUGAAAAUUGUUCUUCGAAGCAAUGAAAUUUCGAAGUGGUUCAGAUAUACAUAAAAAAAUUAAAUUUUUUUUCAUUGUGACGGGAAUACAGGUUACCACCACGGAUGUUUAUGUAAAUGGUGGGAAAUUUUAUUUUUUAAGUUAUUAACCUUUUAACAUACAUAUCCCAACAUUUGUAUAAUGACAUAUGGUAUACUAUUUCGUGUGCCGGUCACAUUAAAAAAUCACUCUGGUUAAGAAAAAAAUGCAUUAUUAGUCUAAAAGACCACCGAAUGUCGGUGGGACCAAGUUUGAUUGCACUGCUCCCUCUUUUUUAUUCUUGAAUUAAAAAAAAUCAAAAAGGAGAAUUAAUAGGUAAAAGUAAAAAAAUAAAAAAAGUACAAAAGAAGGAAUCGGGUGUGAAGAAAAUCACUCUACAAUACGUAAUACUUUUGUUACAUUUUUGAAAGUCAAUUGCAUGUUGAUGUGCUUUUAACUUUUGAGUACAGAAUACUUAAUAUUUGUCAAUCAAUCAUCGGUAUAUAUCAUGUUGGAAGAGGAUUCCCAUUGGAUUCUUUUUGUGGAGAUUUAGGUGAUUUUCUAAUUCUGCGUAUUUAUCGUUAUUGUGUAGUAAAAAAUCAUAUUAAAUAUUUAUAUUUAAAAUUAAAAUUAAAUAUUAUUUGACGAAAAUUGAUCGAACGAUGAACAAUAAACGCACCAAAUUAAAGGAUCUCCCUAAAUUCCCAAAAAAAAAAAUCUGAAGAUGAUCCUCUUCCUAUCAUGUUGAUAUCGUGGAGCACAAGGUAAUAGUUAGCAAACGAAAUUGAUAGGAUAGGGGUAAUGUGAUUAAUACAAGUGCAAAGACGACAACGAGGGAUAAAGUGAUACUUUCGUGCUAGUUCCGAGGACAUUUUGGUAAUUAAGCCUUUAUAUUUACUAAUCUUGAUUUGAUUUAUAAUUAGUACUCAUUUUUGGCGUCGUAUCAUUCUGACAUGGAUUCCUUCCGGAUCCAUUAUGUGGGGAACUAGGGAUAUUUACAUCUCAGUCGUUUAUUGUGUAUCGCAUGAUCAUAAAUCAGUUGAUUUUUAUUUAUUUAAAAUUAAACACAAAUUGUACAUGAUGAAAACUGAUCGCAUAAUAUACGAUGAACGCUGAGAUGUGUUGAAUCUUUAUCGAUCCCUUUUUUUUUAACGUUUAACAAUUGAACUCAUUAAUAUUAAAAUAGAUAAAAAUAGAGUACGAACAAAAAAAAAUCUUAAAUGCUUUUGUUGCAGUCUUUCAAGUUAAUUGCGUAUUUUCAUGCAUUUUAACCUUUGUAUGUACAUAAUUGAUUUGUCAUACGGUCAUAGUAGCUUCAUAUGACAUCGUUUAUGUGUCAUGCGGGUGAAAAGAACGUGUGCUUCAAUAACAAACGAAAAUAAUAAAUAAAUAAUAAAACUAAUGAAAAUGGUUUGAAAAUUUGAGUUUUAAUGAUAAAGACAAAACAAAGGAUAAAGUAAAUAGUAUCAGGAUUGACUUUUUAGUAUAAAAAUAUGGUUUUUCGUUAAAGUGAACAGUACCGAAAAGUUUUUUUGUUAAAAUUCCCUAAAAAAAAAAAUCAAUCUUUAUGAAUAGAAGUUGCAACCAAAGCUCCUCUCCAUCAAUUCUGGAAGGUAGCACGUAGGAAACUGCUUUGUGGCUGUGGGUAGGCAGAAAAGCAUGAGGCUUGACAAGAGAAAGUCCCCAAGUUUAUUUGGCUUUUAGUAUAAAUUAUUUUCUCAUUUGUCGAAGAAAAAAUCACCUUAAAUGACUCACCUUUCUUCAGGUAUGCGACAUUAUUUAUAUGGUUCAAAAUGACACAAACCGGAUAUAAAUAAUGUGGGGGUGUGGUUAAGGAAAAAAUGCAUUAUUACUUUGGUAACUCAAAAACCAUCUAUUGUUGGUGAAACCAGAAUUUUCCUAACAUUUGCUCACUGACGUUAUCGUUUUGUUGAAAAAUAUAAAUAAAUUCUGCACCUGCAUCCUGUUUUCAAUGCACUGCAUAUUCCUCUGCUUCUCUUGUUUUUUUUUUUUUUUUUUUUUUUUUUUGUUGUUCUCGUUACGAAAAUGAAAAUUAUCCAAAAUGAAUGGUAUUAGCUAUUCCCAUCCUAAAUGGAAGCGUGAAGGGAUUGUAAGAACUUUAACACAGAUCGAUGAUAUGCCAAUUGAAUUACCAAUGUUCUGAAACAAGUCAAGUGACAAAACUUAUGAACAAGAACAAGGAUUGCCGAGAACAUACCUGCAGAAUUUGAACUUGAAGAAACCAUAACAGCCUCUGUGUUCAAAACCUUCUCCUCUUUUACGAUCACAAUAGCUUUUCUAAUCAAUAGGACUUAGAACAACAUAAGCUAAUAUCGCAAGAGCAGUGGUUUGAACCAUAAAUAUAUAGUGCUCCUUCGUCCAUUCCCUAUCAGAAUUGGACUAGGAUUCAAAGACAUACAAACCAUAAAGAUUCAUGAGACUUUAUAAAGUUCCAACACAAAGUUCUUUUCCAAAACCAAUUGGAACUUCUCUCAAGACUGCAUUCCUUAUCAGAUUUAGACUUCUUUAUAAUAUCAAUUAUCCCAAGACUUAUAAGAAUCAUACUCAUACUCUUACAUUCUCCCACUUGAGUAUGAUUCAUCACAACAGAUAAUCAUCUCAAAUUAUAAAGGUGAUCAGAUAAGUCAUUCACCAUCACACUAGUACAUAGACACAACCUGCUUACAUAAACCAAAACAAUGAAUUUAUAAUUGCCUAUGCAACACAAAAUACAGAUUUAACUUACAAAUCACAAUGUCCAGUUUAUGUUCAUAGCAAUGUAUCUAAGCUCAAAUUUAUAUAAAAAUUACCAAAUGUUUUGGAUAAAAGCUUAUCCUCACAUACAACUUACCUAUGCAUUUUACCAAACCAAUUUGCUCCCACUUAUCUAGGCCAUACUUAACACAAACAAGUUAAGUAUAAGUUAAUAUCAACUGUAUUAACUAACAGUCAUUGCAAUACACUGAAUGUCUUAUUAAUGUGAUCAAUUGCCGCAACCAAUACGCAAACAAAUUCCAUGAUCACAUUCAUCCAAUUCGUAUUUACAACAAUGUGAUUUUACUUGACCAGAGCAAACACAUAAAUUGAUUUGCUCCCACUAUAUCAAGUUAAGUUUAGUUCCAGCAAAUAGCACUAAACUUCUCAUUACUUAAACAAAUUAAGUAACAUAAAUAAUUACCAAUUGCUUCAAUAAAACCAUAAUCUGGUUUUCAAGCAUCCAUAUGAAUUAUAAUGGCUGGCUUAAAUACUCUUAGCCUUAUGCUUAUAUUCGAACAUACGAUUCUCCCACUUAAGCAUAAGGAGAAUAUACUGCACAGUCAAUAAAGAAAUCGGAGAUAUGAACCAAUUGGUUCCCGAUUCCUUACCUAUUGCAUAAUCUCAGUUUAGUUAUAUACACCUAAACCAUUAUACAAAACAGUCUAUGUAUCAAAAGAUAGUCACAAUCCAUUCGGAAAAACUUAUCUCACAUAAACUCAAAAUCACUAGUUUCAACAAUGAUCAAAAUCAGAAUAGCAAGCACAAUAUUUUUGCAUUCAAUUUGAUCUUAACUAGUUCAAUAUCCAUCGAGCAAGAUCAACCAAAAUUUGAUAAUGUUUGGAUAUAUAUGACAACAAUAUAUCUUGAUUAAAACGAGAUAAUCAAGACUACUAUUUCUUCUGGAGAACUCGAAGUUCAUCUUUCUCCUUAUUUGUGAUUUCAACCAAAAUAUAAUAGCGGAAGCAUGCAUCAUGAAAUCACAAAUAUACAUAUACAAUAAGCAUGCAUCGAUAUAUAUACAUGAUAAGAUUAGUCGACAAUAAUCCAGAUUAAAAAUCUUCAUGCCUUUAAUUCAUUGUCAACACCAUCAUCAAUUAUAUACAGAUUCGUAAGCAAGUCCUUGGAGAAAUAAUGAUAACUGCAUAUCAUUAGUCUUAUGAAUUUCCAAUAAGAUGACAAAUAAUUAUUUGUUUUCCGAUUCAUAAUAGAAUAUAUAUUUUGUAAAUGGCUAAAAGUUUAUUGUCACAAGACUCAUUAUAGGCGGUCAAUAAAACAUCUACCUUAUAUAUUCAUUUGUUCAUAUAUUUUCUUGUAUGCUUGCAUCAAUAUUCAGAGAAACUUAUGCAAGUUCUAUUUGAUAUAGAUAAAGCCGCAUGCCCAUAAUUACAACAUCUAUGCAUGAAUGCUAUCUAGAUAUGAAUACAAAUUUAAUUCAUAUAUGCGAUUUAUGUAUAAGUCACAAAGCAAUUGGCAUCCAUUUUAUAUAUGCAUUCCAUGUUGUUGCUUUAUAUUGCUUGCCGACUUGCACAUGAUAUGCAGUCAAAUCCAUUCCAACCCAAACUUGAUAUAAAUCAAACCAAUUGAAAAUCAGGAAUUGACAAUAAGAUGUGCACUUGUGCUGCUCCCCGCAAUUAAAUGUAUUGAGAUUCAUACAUGAAACAAUGCAUAUACACAGACUCUUUAAUGAAAAAUGGAAAAGUAUAUCUAGACAAAUUUGUUUAUGCAGCAAAGUAUGAUUCCAGACAUCUCACAUAAAUCACAAGUUGGCAUCUAUAGGGAUUUCGAGUUUAAUCAUGCCUUUACAAUUUAUAUAAAUAAACAAGCAUACUCGAAAUAGCAAAAGACCUAAUCAUUAUGCUCCAACUCAUCACACUAUAAUCAUGCAUAUAGGAGAACAAUUAAUCACGCAUGAAACAGUGAAGUGAGUUACAUGAAUGCAUCAUUGGACUCGUAUUCGUCAACCAAUUGCAAUUCCUCGACUCCAAAUUAACGAAAUUACUUAUCCAUCAGUGCUCGAGAAUCGUCCAUGCGGAUUGUCAUCACUCCAAAUUCCCAUGCGGAUUGCCAUCAUAAUCAACACAGCGGAAACAAGAAUUUUGAAAAUCAGAAUUACGAUGUUUAUGAGAGAUGUAUACUGAUAAAUUACUAUACUUAUCACCAAAUAAGCAAACAUGAAAAAGUUCUCUCAACCCCAGAUUGAGAAACACGGUUUCAGAAUAAGUAACUAAUCUUGACACCAAUUCCAUUUAACUCAAUCUAAAUGUUAAACAAAAUUCAAGAAAUUGCAAUAAGAUUUCAAAAUACAUACCCUUUUAUGAAUGGUUUCAGGAUCGUAUCAAUCUUAGCAUCAAUCAUGUAUAAAGAUUGCAGUAUUGUAUAUAUUACAUCAGGAGUUUUGUAUGUAUCAAGGAUCAAAAUUCGAUAAACUUGAUAUAAUACAUCAGGAGUUUUGAAUUAUAAACAUACCUUUGGGAACAAAAGAAAAAUAUAUAUUAUCGCAAAUCCAAAUCUUAAACAAAGAUGGUUGUGAACGAGAAGAUCUAGAAGCAAAGCAUGUUUGGAUCAUCACAACUUCAAACCAAGAAGAGAAAAAAGGUGCAAACCCAGAAAAUUUCGUACAAGGUUAUGAGUUUUGCCAAUAUUCAAUUUAAACAAGGUUAUACGUUUUCUAGGUUUGGAACGUUUAAGUGUUCAUAGCUUUUCCAUCAGAUUCUUGUGUAAAUUUCGAACUCAAUGACAAUAAUCAACUAGGCUCUGAUACCACAUGUAAGAACUUUAACACAGAUCGAUGAUAUGCCAAUUGAAUUACCAAUGUUCUGAAACAAGUCAAGUGACAAAACUUAUGAACAAGAACAAGGAUUGCCGAGAACAUACCUGCAUAAUUUGAACUUGAAGAAACCAUAACAGCCUCUGUGUUCAAAACCUUCUCCUCUUUUACGAUCACAAUAGCUUUUCUAAUCAAUAGGACUUAGAACAACAUAAGCUAAUAUCGCAAGAGCAGUGGUUUGAACCAUAAAUAUAUAGUGCUCCUUCGUCCAUUCCCUAUCAGAAUUGGACUAGGAUUCAAAGACAUACAAACCAUAAAGAUUCAUGAGACUUUAUAAAGUUCCAACACAAAGUUCUUUUCCAAAACCAAUUGGAACUUCUCUCAAGACUGCAUUCCUUAUCAGAUUUAGACUUCUUUAUAAUAUCAAUUAUCCCAAGACUUAUAAGAAUCAUACUCAUACUCUUACAGGGAUGAGAUAAGGAAUGGGACCCUGACAAAGACUGGUAAUAGUAUUAGUAAUUAGUCUUCGGUAGUUCAAAGACGACCGUGGAACCAAGUUUGAAUGCACUCCUCCCCUUUUUUUUAUUCUUGAAUUAAAAAAAUCAAAAAGGAAAAUUAAUAGGUUGAAAUAAAAAUAUAAAAAAAGUACAAAAGAAGGAAACGGUGUGAAGAAAGUCCCUCUACAAUACGUAAUACUUUUGUUACAUUUUUGAAAGUCAAUUGCAUGUUGCCGUGCAUUUUAAUUUUUGAGUAUAGAAUACUUGAUAUAUUGUCAAUUAAUCAUCCGUAUUUUGUCAAUUAGUGUCUGGUACCUAUGGAUCCUUUAAUCUGGACCGUACAACUAACAGUCCUGAUUUGAUUUGCACAUCAAUCAAUGGUCCAAAUUAAAGGAUCUAUAAGCUCCAUAACGAAUCCAAUUCCUAAAAAAUUUGAUCGUAUAAUGAAUAAUGAAUGUACCAAACUCCCACAAAGAAGAUCCGGAGAGAAUCCUCUUCCUAUCAUGUCGAUAUCGUGGAGCAAAAGGUAACAGUCAGCAAACGAAGUUGAUAGGAUAGGGGUACUGUGAUUGAUACAAGUGCAAAGACGACGAGGGAUAAAGUGAUACUUUCGUGCUAGUUCCGAGGACAUUUUGGUAACUAAGCCAUAUUUAGUACUCUUUUUUGGUGUCGUAUCAUUCUCUCUCUCAAAGAUUAAUUAUAAGAGAACUUUAACAAAAAGCUUCAUGUAUUAUUUAUUUUAAUAAAAAAUUAUAUUUUUACACUAAAAAGUUAAUUAUGGUAUUAUUCACUUUAGUUUUUUUUUUAUAGUUAAAACUCAAAGUUUUCAAGUAUUUUUUAUUAAUUUUCCUUAAUUAUGAUUUACAAAUAGUAGCUGAAAUGGGUCUCUUUUUUCUUUAUAUGCAAUUGUAUUUCAUUACUUCUUUUGUCUUUUUCUUCAGCACUGAAAAAAAAAAAAGAAAAUUGCUUUCAUACAUCAUUUCUCAUUUUAUCACACUUUUGUUUUGUUGUAUUUAGAUUGAAAUCACUAGCGACAAAAAUUGUCCGAAUGGAAUCGUUUUAGUUGUUCCCGACUAAUAUAAAAGUCCUAACAAAGACCGACAAGAGCAACGUGGGGCUGGUAAAAAAAAGUUGAGUCAAAAUCGCUACCCAGAAAAUUGUCCGGAAAGAAUCUUUUUAUAGCUGUUCCCAUCUGUCUAGUUUGAUGAAUGGAAGUUCCGAGGAAGGUUGCUUUGCUUUAACUUUAUCACGUUCACAUUGAAGGUGGUAGGAAACUGCUGCUUCACAUUGAAGGCAGAAAAUCAUGCGAAAGGCCUGAUAUAUAACAAGAACGAAUUCUUGGUGCAAGUACCAGUCCAGCAUCCAUACUCAAUUCUUUGAAAGGCCCUUACCUAGAUUUCUCCAAUGAACAAUCAACUUGUCUCUUCUUCUUCCUUCAGCAGUCCUCCUUUGUGGAAGUACGAUGUCUUUUUGAGCUUUAGAGGAGAGGAUACACGAACCAAUUUUACAGAUCAUUUUUACAAGGCGUUGGACGGCAAGGCAAUCACCACGUUCAUUGAUCACCAACUUAAAAGAGGAGAAGGAAUAUCUCAGGCUCUUCUCGAAGCAAUUGAUGAGUCGAGAAUUUCGAUCAUUAUAUUAUCUAAAAACUAUGCAUCUUCAAGAUGGUGCUUGGAAGAGCUCGUACGUAUCCUUGAAUGUAGAAAGUCAAGGAAGCAAAUUGUUUUGCCAGUUUUUUACAAAGUGGAUCCGUCCGAUGUACGAAAGCAAACGAGUAGUUUGGUGACGCGUUUACAGAAAAGUUCAAAUUCGAAGACAACAAGGAGAAGAUCCUCACAUGGAGGAGUGCUCUUACAGACGCAGCAAAUUUAUCAGGAUAUACUUUCAAAGAGGGAGAGUACGUAUAUUUCUUCCCCUUAUACUGCCUUUAAUCUGAAAAGAUGACUUUACCUGAAAUUCAAUUUUCUUUACAUAAAACCCAACCUAGUUUUUGUGCUUGACUAAUUAAGCUUAACAAGUUACAUUUUAUAUCUUUUGGUUUCCUAAAAUACCCCUAAUAACAAUUUGAUUCUCUAGCAUAUUUAUAUCCAUUUAUUGUGUUAAACCUAUUGCAAGUUUAACUGGUCACUAGUACUCAUUGUGUUAAAUUUCGAAUUGGCUGGAUUAAUUACCCGAGUGUACCCAUUUUUUGUUGUUCAAAUUUUAAAUUUAUUAAUAUUUUUUGGUUUCCUAAUUUUGUUUGAAAAAUCAAUUUACCUACGUUUUUGAAAAAUUAACUUACAAAUUACUGAUUUUGAUUAAUAAUGUACCUAUGGUGUUGUUUUAUAAUUUACCGAUUACUAAUGAUGUUAGGUAAAUUAGUACUUUUAGGAAAGAAAUGAUACAUAUCCAUACAAAACAUCUUUUUUCAUCCGAACAACAACAUAACAUUUAAAUGCAAAAAAAAAGGUCCAUGUCUUAUGGAAAGAUGUUAGGAUUUUACAGAGUAAUAAACGGCAAUGUGAAAUUGUGAAUAAUGGAAUAGGGGUAAAUCAUUUUAUUAAUGGGUCAAUUAUUAUCUUACAUGAUUCUGUAUUUAGUUGCAAGCGGCACAUGCUUGACUGUAUCAGUGAUUAUCCAUACCUCUGUUUUUUUUCAAUCUUUUUUAUCUUUUCAUUCUCUUCUUCUUUUUACCUUUUUUUCUUUUUUCAAAGAAAUAUAGCAUAAAAAGUUGAUUGACUAAAUGUGUCAAUUUUUUUAUAUAAACUGGUAGGUAUGAAGCUACAUUUAUCAGUAAGAUCGUGGAGGAGAUCUUCGUCCCCGUACAACAAUGCACGCAUUUGAAGGUAGCCAAUUACCCAGUUGGAAUGGAGUCUUGUGUAGAAAAGGUGAAAGAGCUUUUAGGUGUCAGGGGAAAUGAUCCGUGUGUGGUUGGGAUUUGGGGGUCAUUUGGAAUCGGCAAGACAACAGUUGCAAAAGCUGUUUAUAAUGCAAUUGCUUAUGAGUUUGAAGGUAGUUGUUUCCUGGCAGAUGUUCGAGAAACGUCAAUACAAUACAGAGGCCUACUCCAACUACAAAACACUCUUCUGAGUGAGAUUGGUGGUUCAGAGUGGAAAGCUGUCAAUCUUCAUAGAGGAAACAUCCUUAUAAAGAAACUGUUGAGGGGAAAGAAGAUUCUCUUAAUUCUUGAUGAUGUGGAUGAUUUUGAGCAGUUAGACAACUUGGUUGAAGUCCAUCAGUUAGGUGAGGGUAGCAGAGUGAUCAUAACCACAAAAAAUAAAGGAUUGCUGGAAUCUUGUAAAGUUGAGCUGAUAUACAAGGUCCAAAAGUUAGAAGACAACAAAGCUAUUGAGCUUUUUAGUUGGAAUGCCUUCGGAAAAGAAAAACCUCCAGAUGAUUAUUUGGGACUCGCACGACGUGCAAUAGCCUAUGCUCAAGGCCUCCCGUUAGCUCUUAAUCUUAUAGGUUCUCAUCUGCGUGGUAAAAAUAUAGUUCGUUGGCAAGAUAUUUUGGAUAGUUACGAUGAAGAACCUCAUAGAGGGAUUCAAAGAGUACUUCGGAAAAGUUAUGAUACCUUGGAAUAUGUCCAACAACAACUUUUCCUAGACAUUGCAUGCUUCUUCAAGGGUGAAGAUAAAGACAAAGUGUUACAGAUAUUAAAAGGAUCAAAUCUCAAAGUACGUCAACAUUGUAUUGAUGUUCUCGUUGAGAAUGCCAUUAUAACUAUUGAACAUAAUAGGAUUUUGAUGCAUGACUUGCUAGAACAAAUGGGUAAGCAUAUAGUUUGGGAAGAAUCGCCCACUGAACCAGACAAGCGGAGCAGAUUGUGGCUUCCUAAAGAUGUGUACCGUGUUCUAACUGAAAACAGAGUAAGUAGAAUAUAUGUUCUUGCAUUUGAUUUAAUUGGCAUGAUUUUGGAAACACAAAAAAAAUUAAAAUCCUUUUGAUUUCUUUGUUAUAUGAUUUGUUUGUUAACACUAUUUAUUUUUCCAUCUUAGGGAACAAAGAAAAUUAAAGGCAUUGUGGUGAAGUUGCCCGUGCCAGAUGUGAUACCCUUGAAUACAAAAAGCUUUUCCAAGAUGGUAAAUCUUGAAUUUUUUAUAAUUCGUAAUGCACACUUUUCUGAAUGCGUUGAGGAUUUACCCGACGAUUUGAGGUGGAUUGAAUUCGGUGGGCUUCAUUACUGGGGAUCCAAUAUUCUUCAAAAGCAUAUACUUACAUUCAAUUUGCAAUCCAAUUGUCAUAUCAGAAAUCUUGUCACGUUUAUUAUGCCAAACAGUGACAUCAAACAAUUGAAGGUGUUUCAGGUAUGUAUACUUAUUAUAAAUGAAUUUGGACAAUUACUAAUUUAAUUGUAUAUUUUAUUUUUGGAAAAAGAAAUUUGCCAAAGCUUUUCAUUGUUAAUUAUUCUAUUUAAAGUUUGUGAUUUUUUUUUCUUUUGAUUUUGAUUUCACAGAUUUGGCAAUGCUUACAUCUUUGAAUUUAAGUGGUUCCCAAUUCUUAGAAAAAAUUCCCAACUUAUCCGGAAGUCCAAACCUAAAGAAGUUGAUUCUAAAUGAGUGUAACCGUUUAGUUGAAGUUGAUGAUUCUGUUGGAUUCCUUGAUAAACUUAAUAGAUUAAGUCUUAAUGGGUGCUCUAGGCUUGAGAGAUUUGCGACGAGACUUAGAUUGAGAUCCCUUCGUAGACUUACUCUUUAUGGUUGUACAAGGCUCAAGAGUUUCCCAGAAAUAGAGGCCGAGAUGGAAUCUCUAUAUGAUUUGGACAUAUCAAAAAGUGGCAUAAGAGAAUUGCCUUCAUCAAUUGCAUAUCUUACCGGGCUUAAAUUUUUGUCGGCAAGUUAUUGUGAGAACCUUACAGGUACAUCCUUACAUCACAGUUAUGGGUUGCAACAUCUCUACCGUAUUGAAAUGAUUAGAUGCCCAAAACUGGUGACAUUUGGGAAGUUUUCAACUCGCUUAGACACUUCACAUUACAACGGUAUCCCAUUAGCCAUUUUCAACGCAUGCAAGCUUUAUCUUGUUGAAUGCAAUUUAUCAGAAAGUGAUUUCCUUGUGCCUCUUCAAUAUGAACCAUCCAGUCUUCAUUGCUGGUCCACAUUAAUAGAACUUGGUCUGUCGGGAAACAAUUUUGUUAGUCUUCCGGAAUGCAUUAGCAAAUUUGUCAACUUGGAAAUACUUUGGUUGACUGGUUGCAAGAGGCUUCGGGAAAUUCCACAUGCCCUUCCACCAAAUCUAAGGGAAUUAUAUCUGAAUGAUUGCACAUCAUUGGAGAAAAUUCCAAAGUUGCCCUCGGGGCUUAGGUGUCUGCAGUUGACUAAUUGCUUUGGACUAAGUGGCGAUGAGGUGGCAAAGUUGGAAAAUAAUUUGUUGAACUGGAAUCAGGUUCGUCUCUCCUCUCUUAAUUUCUCUUGAAAUUAAAAUAUUUAAUUUGUUGAUACUUGGGAGGGAGAACAGAUCAUGAUUGUUUGUAGUUAUUUACGUAUUAUUCACUAUUGCAGGAAUUUCUUCGGUGCUCUCAAUUGCAAGUUACGUAUCCAGGCGAUGAAAUUCCAAAGCGGUUUAGCUAUACCUCUAAACAUCUAACAGCCACUAGGAUUGAAAGUGUAGGAAAAGGUACAAGGCAACAUGAUUAUGUUGGAGGUGGUGAAUUUAGUUUUGAAAUUUCUCUAAAUUUACAGGAGAGGGAGACGUUAUUAGGAUUGGCUCUAUCUUGUGUUUUUCCACCACAAUUGACUGGAGGGAUUUGUUAUUACUACAAUCUUCGUCUUUACAUCAACGAAGCAAGUGAUUAUCAACAAUUUAGGUGGAUAGUGGAAGGCAAGGAGGCUCAUGUGGGGCUAGUGUUAGUGGAUUUAGAGAACCAGGGAGAAAGCCCAUGUGGGGCUCAUGUUAGUGGAGAUAUUUGUAAAGUUAAAGUUCAAUAUCCCAACUACUCGAGCAUUAAAAGCUGCGGGGUGCAGCCCCUAUUGCGCAAAGGAGAUGAACGGCUUCCCUCGUCUUUGGAACCAACGAGUAGCCUUGGAUCCUCAGAUAUCGUCAAUGAUGAAUAUGAUCGGCAACAACAAUGGCCUUCCUUAUCUUUGAACCCAGCGGAUGAUCAUCCGACACACACACAGAUUGAUCACAAUGUUCCUUCUGAUAUUGAGGAGGAGCAAGAGCAACCGUCCACCAUUUCUGAUUUACUAGGAGUUUGGGUACGUACAUUUCAGUUUUAGCCAUUUUUUUAUUAUUCUUUAUUGUGAUAUCUUUUUUAAAUUAAUAUAAUAAUAAUUAAUUAAUUUAAAUUAAAUAAAGGAAAAAAUUUGAACAGUUUGCAAUCUGCAUAAUCAAAGAUUUCAUAUCUUUAGAAACAAAGAUUUCAUAUCUGCAGGUGGUUAGGCCAUCUCCAACCGAUAGCUGGUCAGAGGGUUCGUUUUAACCAUCUGGCCCUCCAAGAUUCUUCAAGAUAUUAAUAUUUUAAUGAACAGUACAUGACCAUAUUUGCCUCCGUCUCCAACCGAGGGUCAUAGGGCCAAACAUAAUUUAUUAUUUAAAAACUACAACUUAAAUUCAAAUCCAACGGCUAAGUGACAAAUUUAAUUUAAUGUUGUUUCAUGUUACUUAAUUUAAUUUAAUGUUGUAUAAUGGCUUAGGAAGUUAUAGGAAAAAAAUAGAAUUUAAAAAAAAUAUGAAACAAAUUUUGUGAAAUAGAAGUUAUAGAAAAAAAUGGAGUUUAAAAAAAAAUAUGAAACAAGUUUUGUGAAAUAAAAGUUAUAGGAAAAAAAAUAGAAUUUAAAAAAAAUAUGAAACAAAUUUUGUGAAAUAGAAGUUACAGGAAAAAAAUGGAAUUUAAAAAAAAUAUGAAAUAAAUUUUGUGAAAUAGAAGUUAAAGGAAAAAAUUGAAGUUGUAUGAAAUUUUUUGUGAAAUAGAAGUUAUAGGAAAAAAUAGAAGUUAUAGAAAGUUAUAGGAAAAAAUAGAAGUUAUAUGAAAAUUUUUGUAAAUAAAAAAUAAUAAUAAAAAUGUAAAAAAAAAUAUAUAUCAAAUGAAACCCAACGGCUAGCUGAGUCAGCUAGCCGUUAUAUUAAAAAAAAUUCCAAACUAUUAGUGUCGGUUAUAAUUGACACUAAUAGUAAAUAAAUAAAAAAAUUUGCCUAUGAAUACCUAUUACUGUCGGUUAUAACCCACAGUAUUAAAAAAUUCUUCUUUAAUGUUGUCGGUUAUAUCUGACAGCAAUAGGGAAACUAUAAAAAAAAAAAUAGCCAGCCCGGGGCUGGCUGGCCGAAAGCAGCCAGCCCUUUGGCCCUUUGAAAUUCCGUGGGGCCCUCCCAGAUUCCAGAGCCCUCGGUUGGAGACGGUUUUAGGGCUAUUUUCGGCCCUCUGGCCCUCUGGACCCUUCGGUUGGAGAUGGCCUUAGUUCUUAGAAAAACAGAAACCACAUUUGUGUCUUGAUGUACCUUUUACUGAUAAAAUCAAAUUCUAAUUAAUCAAAACAAACAAUUAUGGAAGGAAAAUAUACAAGGGGAAAUGAGAUUAUAAGUACAAAAUUCAAGAUUAAUUACCUAAAAACUUGGUUUUGUUCGUAUAAGUACAAAAUUUCUACACGAAGAUCAAAGAACUACAUCGUUUGGAUGAACAUGUAAACCACAUGCUUCUCUCUCUGUUAAUUAAGUUUACACGCAGAGAUGGAAGUCUUGUAGGACUACUGUUUAAUCAAGAGUCCCAGGUUUGCAACUAUUUUUUUAUUAGCAUUUACUUCUGCUUUUUUAAUUAAUGAAUAGGUGGAAAUUUGAUUCGGUGUUGAUUAUAAGAUUUAGUAGAAUUUUAAUAUCAAGAGGAGAUAACAAUGUAGAAAACAUAGCCCCUUGAAUCAACUUGAUUGAUCUCGACCCUCAUGAUCUCACGGGUCUCGGCCUGCUUCGGUUGUUUAAAUUUCUGGUGUAAGCCAAGAAAGUGAACUCAUUAAUGUUGCUGCUCUAGUUAGUCAGCCUGCUUUUUCUGACAAGCCUGCGGUCUCUUUAUGUUCCACCAUGGGAAGCUGGGAGUGAAGCGUGCAUUAGUUGUUGGAAUUGGACUUCAAAUUCUUCAACAGGUUUGGUAGAAAAAGUUAAAAGGAAAAUUUUAUUUAAAACCAUGUAACUUUUUUUCUACACUCCUCAGGUGUAUGAGCAGGCCCGCGUCGCCAUUCUUCUAUCUAACAUAGGGUUGAAUCCAACAUUUGCAUCUCUCUUCGUAAGUGCCAUUACAAUUGUCUUAAUGGAUAUAGCUGGCAGAAGAUAAUUUCGAACACCUUCGGUUUCCUAGAACCGAUUACUAACUUUUAAUCAAAAUUAUAACUAGGGUAAAUUAUCCAAACGAUAAAAUAAAGUUUAGUGUCACUCCAUUUCCAUUUUAGACUAAAAGUUUGUAACCGGUUCUAUCUAUAUGCAUAUUUGCAAAAAAUAAGCUUUCCUUUUUGCCUUUCUUGGUAUGCCGGUCGCUGCUGCUCUCCACAUUACAUUGUCCCUCACUCUUCUUGUAGUUGCCAACAUUGUCAACUUGGGAACUGUUCUGAAUGCAACAAUUUCCACCGCCGUGCCUGCUGCUUCGUCAUGGCAUUUGGAGUAACCCCGAACAUUCUCUGCGCUGAGAUCAUCCCUACGAGCAUCCACGACCUCUGCAUUGCCAUCUGAGCCCUCACAUUCUGGAUUGGAGACAUCAUCAUCACUUACGCAUUUCCUGUCAUGCUCUUCUCCGUUGGAUUUGCUGGCAUCUUGGGAAUCUAUGUUGUCCGGUGCAUUGUUCCUGGAUAUUUGUUUACUUGAAGGUGCCUGAAACUAAAGACAUGCCUCUUGAAGUUAGCUGCUGCUGAUGCAUCUGUUGGAUUCCAAUGAUAACUGAUUUGAUUGUUCAGAGGAUUUGAAAGUUUGGUUUGGCUUUAGACUGGGAUUACGAGGACAGGAUUUGAGUUGGAAAAAGUGCUGAU